rnacentral:tRNA from 1 species
AGGUCGCGUCGGCCGGCUCUUCGGGCUUCGUGCCCUUCCAGAGCGCGAAGUCCUGAGGGUUGCGUUUGCCCCGGGGGUCCGCGUCCUCCGCGGCCUCC